rnacentral:rRNA from 1 species
AGAGGGUGCAAGCGUUAAUCGGAAUUACUGGGCGUAAAGCGCGCGUAGGUGGUUUGUUAAGUUGGAUGUGAAAGCCCCGGGCUCAACCUGGGAACUGCAUCCAAAACUGGCAAGCUAGAGUACGGUAGAGGGUGGUGGAAUUUCCUGUGUAGCGGUGAAAUGCGUAGAUAUAGGAAGGAACACCAGUGGCGAAGGCGACCACCUGGACUGAUACUGACACUGAGGUGUGAAAGCGUGGGGAGCAAACAGGAUUAGAUACCCUGGUAGUCCACGCCGUAAACGAUGAGUACUAGCUGUCGGAGGUUACCCCCUUCGGUGGCGCAGCUAACGCAUUAAGUACUCCGCCUGGGAAGU